GUGCAUGCAUGAAACGUAACUUGAAUAGCGCCACCAUGCAUGCUAGCAGUACACUGAAGCAACAUGGCCGAACUGAAGUCUCUUCUUGAGAAGUCUGCGUGGUUCACCACAGAUUUGUACACGAAUCCCUUCAAAAGGCAAUUCAUAAAGAACGCAGUCCUCUUUGGUGUUGGUGUAUGGCUAGCGAGAGAGUUUGCUGACAUAGAUGUUGUCGGGCCGGCAGUCCCAUUGGCAUGAUACAAUGGAUGGACAGCUCCACGGCCAGUGUUGGCCACCAGAAUCAAGCCCCAGCUUUAUACGAGAAAUAUGCAUCAGAAUCAGUCGCAGGGCUCAUCCAGUCUAUCAACGCUAAUAACUGAACCAUAGCAGACCAGUGGGGGACCCUCUUCAGAGCACAUGGCAGUAUGGAGACUUUUGCUGCAUUUUACAAACCUCGGCUACACCCCAGCAGUAGCUUCGGGAGAUUUUUCAACCCCUGAUGACUUUGAAGGCUCCAGCUCAAUAUAGGUCCAUGUAUACAUUUUGUUCAGGAGCAUCAAACCUUUAUAACCCAAGUCCAAAGUUUAGAUGUAGAGCAUUUGUUUGCGUUUCUAUUUUAAAAGCUUCGAAAAUGAUUUUGGAGGUAGAGAUGAAGGCGAACGGGAGACAAAGUCAAAAUUUCGAAAAUGGCUUCGUGAAUUGACCUCAGAAAAGUAUCAGUUUGGAUUGUUAUUUAGAGUCGGAGGCAUGCAUUCUUGAACAGGAAAGUAA
rnacentral:lncRNA from 1 species